rnacentral:rRNA from 1 species
AGUGAACGCUGGCGGUAGGCCUAACACAUGCAAGUCGAACGGCAGCACAGUAAGAGCUUGCUCUUACGGGUGGCGAGUGGCGGACGGGUGAGGUAUACAUCGGAAUCUACUUUUUCGUGGGGGAUAACGUAGGGAAACUUACGCUAAUACCGCAUACGACCUACGGGUGAAAGCAGGGGAUCUUCGGACCUUGCGCGAUUGAAUGAGCCGAUGUCGGAUUAGCUAGUUGGCGGGGUAAAGGCCCACCAAGGCGACGAUCCGUAGCUGGUCUGAGAGGAUGAUCAGCCACACUGGAACUGAGACACGGUCCAGACUCCUACGGGAGGCAGCAGUGGGGAAUAUUGGACGAUGGGCGCAAGCCUGAUCCAGCCAUACCGCGUGGGUGCAGAAGGCCUUCGGGUUGUAAAGCCCUUUUGUUGGGAAAGAAAAGCAGCAGGUUAAUACCCCGCUGUUCUGACGGUACCCAAAGAAUAAGCACCGGCUAACUUCGUG